rnacentral:lncRNA from 1 species
CACUGGUUUAAAUCAUUUAUCUCCAUGUAGAGAUUUGAGUACAAAAAUAAACGGCAACAAAACAGAAGGAGUGUGAAAUCCAGGGAUCCACAGGGCUUCUGUCCUCCACCUUCCAUGCAGCUGGGGGCUGCAUCCUCUGUGGGGUGGCUUCAUCCUCUGUGGGGUCUGCGGGGCCUGCUCCAAGUCAUCAGCAUUCCAUGCCCACCUGGACCUGGUCCCAGACUUUUGGGGAAGCCCUCAGCCUGGGGCUCCUGGCACCCCCGUUGCGGCUGGGGAAGAGAGGUGUGGAAUCCCCAGAGAAAGGGAAGGAAAGGCAUGAGGGGCCUUCCCUGGGGGGAAGGUCACAGGCUGGGGGCUAAGAUGACGGCCAGGAGGCUCAGGGCCAGCCCCAGGCUGAGGGCACUGUGGGCGAGGGCGGUGCGGGUGGGUGCAGAGUUGUGCAGCUUCUCAUUGCACAGGUCCUCCUGGCAGCACUCGGUGGAGCUGGUGCCGCUGCUGACCUGGCCUUGCAGGGUGUAGCUGGGUGUGCACGACUCCGCACAGUCCUUCUUCACCAGAUUCCCCCUCAGAGGCUCCACUGGGCACAGAAGCGAGAGCUGGCCGGGCAGACCACAGAAUGCUUGCAGUUGCUGGAGCUGGUGCACACGUG